CCUGCUUGAUCUCUCGAACCUGGUCAGCAUCUCACUGGAACUGACGAUCCGAGUCAAAUAUUCAUUUAUAAACUUCCAGAGUGGGUCCUUUGAUUUCUUCUUUCACGAAUGUGGCGCUGAUUUUGGAGCUAUUAAAAUCAACAUCUUGGGCACUUAUGUGGCGUGGUGCAGACGGUCUUCAACUUGGUCAAAUCCCUCUUCUUGGACACGGUGAAUGUGGCUUUUCCCUUGGGACCUUUUGCAACUCUGAGGUUUAUGCUGGGAAGUCUGCCUGUUGUCUCUGAUGGCUACACUAAUAUAAAUUUAUAUAUCAAUGUUGAGGUGCCGGGCCAAGGGAUUCUCUCCAUUCCUGACUUAGCUGGCUCCAUCAAUGUGCCUCCCCUUGGUAACUUCAAGCACGUCCAUGCUUUCCAUCCAGCACUCAUCAACAUUCUGCUAUUUAUUUUUGCUCCAAAAGAUUCCUUUGAACUGCCCUGCACCCCUGACAAAUUCAGUGGAGCCGAUGAUCUGAGGAAUGCCAUUUUGCUUGUUGUACCCCUUGAGGUGAGUGAGUUCUUAGAAGCCCAGCUUGGCAUGAGUCCCAUUGCUUUCAUGCUCGGCCACUGCAAAACCAGGCGCCUGAAGGGUCAGUUUCCAAAAGAACGUGAUGCAAUGGCUCACAUGCAGGAACCCCCCUCUUUCUGGGGGACCCUUUCUUCUAAUUCCUAUUAUACAGUUGCCAACAGUUUUUCCCCUAAGAGAUGCUCAAUGCAUUUAAGAGUAGGCGGAAAUUCAAAAGGCAGGUUCCCUCCAUUGUUAGAUGUGGGGAAAACAUUGCCCGCUGAAACUCUAAUUUUUUUGCAAGAAAUCCUGGCAGAAUAUCUGAAGGACCGUAUCUCCCCAUACAAGCCUAUUCAGCAUUUAAGAUUAUCAGAGGAGGUCCUUCUACCAGGCAUGGCUGAUGGGGACACGGGAGAGGGCUUUCUCUGUGGCCACUUCCAGGUUAUGGAAGGCUCUCCCUCCUUUUUAUCCUUCUGCCGACACCAGAAGAUGCAUCUCUUCAGGCAGGCUUUCGACCAUCAUGGUUGA
rnacentral:lncRNA from 1 species